UACGAAGGGGGCUAGCGUUGCUCGGAAUUACUGGGCGUAAAGGGAGCGUAGGCGGAUAGUUUAGUCAGAGGUGAAAGCCCAGGGCUCAACCUUGGAAUUGCCUUUGAUACUGGCUAUCUUGAGUACGGAAGAGGUAUGUGGAACUCCGAGUGUAGAGGUGAAAUUCGUAGAUAUUGGGAAGAACACCAGUGGCGAAGGCGGCUCACUGGCCCGUAACUGACGCUGAGGUGCGAAAGCGUGGGGAGCAAACAGG
rnacentral:rRNA from 1 species